AAGAUCGAUAAAGAAUCGUUAAAACGUUUCAACUCGUGAAAUCUCGAAGGAACAAUAAGUCUAUUUGAUUUUACCGUGGACCUGUCACCCGGUGUUGUCAUCCAAGCGUAAAUCAUAUAACCAGGUGUCCAUUGUACGAGAUUGAAGAUGAAAACGCCCUGUUGAUAGUUUCAGAGAUUGAAGAUGACAACGAACGUUGGUGUGCUUCUGUUUAAAUUGAAAGCUCUUCACUCAAGUGAAAUCAAAGAUAGACUUACGACACAAAUCAUGGGGGUGGUGACAGUCCAACAUAGUUUCCACCACAUGAGAGGAUAAUACCCUAUCAUGUCUCUUAUAGCGUCGUAGAAUCGGUUGACGCCGAAAGCCCAGCUUAUCGAGAUGCACUCGAA